AUGAAGAGGCUGUUGUGCUCUCUGCUGGGACUUCUGUGCACCCAGGUUUGCUGGUUGAAAGGGCAGCAAGUGCAUCAGAGUCCUGUGUCCUUGGUCCUGCAGGAGGGAGAGGACGCAGAGCUGCAGUGUAACUUUUCCACAACUUUGAACAGUAUGCAGUGGUUUUACCAACGUCCUGGGGAAAGCCUCGUCAGACUGUUCUACAAUCCUUCUGGGACAAAGCAGAGUGGAAGACUGACAUCCACCACAGUCACUAGGGAACUUCGAAGCUCUCUGCACAUCUCCUCCUCCCAGACCACAGACUCAGGCACUUAUCUCUGUGCUAUGGAACCACAGUGCUCCCCACACACCUGCAGGCUGUACAUAAACCUUUAG